GGGCCCGCACAAGCGGUGGAGUAUGUGGUUUAAUUCGAUGAUACGCGAGGAACCUUACCUAGGCUUAAAUGUAGGUUGACUUAUUGGGAAACCAGUAUUUCUUCGGACAAUCUACAAGGUGCUGCAUGGUUGUCGUCAGCUCGUGCCGUGAGGUGUCGGGUUAAGUCCCAUAACGAGCGCAACCCCUAUCAUUAGUUGCUAACAUUUAGUUGAGGACUCUAAUGAAACUGCCCGCGUAAGCGGUGAGGAAGGUGGGGAUGACGUCAAAUCAUCACGGCCCUUACGUCUAGGGCUACACACGUGCUACAAUGGUAACUACAGAGGGAAGCUAGCUGGUGACAGUAAGCAAAUCCUUAAAAGUUAUCCCAGUUCGGAUUGAAGUCUGCAACUCGACUUCAUGAAGUUGGAAUCGCUAGUAAUCGGAUAUC
rnacentral:rRNA from 1 species